GACAGAGGCCUCGAGCGUUAGGCGGAAUCACUGGGCUUAAAGGGCGCGUAGGCGGGCUAGCAAGUCAGGGGUGAAAGCCCACGGCUCAACCGUGGCAGUGCCUUUGAUACUGCUGGUCUUGAGGGAGGUAGGGGCGUGCGGAACUUCCGGUGGAGCGGUGAAAUGCGUAGAUAUCGGAAGGAACGCCGGUGGCGAAAGCGGCGCGCUGGACCUCUUCUGACGCUGAGGCGCGAAAGCCAGGGGAGCAAACGGG
rnacentral:rRNA from 1 species